rnacentral:rRNA from 1 species
CAAAGGUAGCAUAAUCAGUUGGCUUUUAAUUAAAGUCUGGUAUGAACGAAAGUAUGGGUGGAAACUGUCUUAGUAUAUUGAUUCGAACUUAUUAAGCAAGUGCAAAUACUUGCAAGUUUAAAAAAGACGAGAAGACCCUAGAAACUUGGAGUAGUUUUUGUUGGGGCGACAGAAUUACAUUUAACUAAUUCUUAUGACAUGACAUUUAAUUGGUAGAAUAAGUUACUCUAGGGAUAACAGCAUAAUUUUAACAGUUUGUGACCUCGAUGUUGAAUUAG